rnacentral:lncRNA from 1 species
CAUACCUGUGGCACAUGGAGGUUCCCAGGAUAGGGGUUAAAUUGGAGCCUUUUGUGGCUGCCUAUGCCAGAGCCACAGCAACACCAGUUCCGAGCCAUGUAUGCAGCCUACACCAUAGCCCAUGGCAACGCCGGAUCCUUAACCCACUGAGCAAGGCCAGGGAUCAAACCCACAACCUUAUGGUUCUUAGAUUCUCAAUGGAAUACUACUCAGCCAUAAAAAAGAACAAAAUAAUGCCAUUUGCAGCAACAUGCAUGGAACUAGGCUCUGAUAUUGAGUGAAGGAAAUCAGAAAGAGAAAGACAAAUACCAUAUGAUAUCACUUAUAUCUGGAAUCUAAUAUAUGGCACAAAUGAACCUUGCCACAGAAAAGAAAAUUAUGGACGUGGAAAAUAGACUUGUGGUUGCUGAGGGGGAGGGAGAGGGAGUGGGAUGGAUUGGGAAUUUGGGAUUAAUAGAUGCAAACCAUUGCCUUUGGAAUGGAUUAGCAAUGAGAUUCUACUCUAUAGGACUGGGAACUAUCUCUGGUCACUUAUGAUGGAGCAUGAUAAUUUGAGAAAAAAGAUUGUAUACAUGUAUUAGUAAUUGGGUCACCAUGCUGUACAGUAGAAAAAAAAUCAUAUUGGGGAAAUAACAAUAAAAAAUUUUUUAAUUAAAAAAUUCAGAAAGUGUUUUACUUUUAAUACCCCAUGUAUAAUAUUAAUAACUAAAAUUAUUAAAAUAUAUGUAAAUAUAAAUCAAAGGUAAUAGUAACAUCCUUCAGGUACUCCUCCUUCAGGUCUAGGUGUAUAAUGGUUAUUACUAACCCGGAGGCUUCACUUUUCCUGUUUGCACUUUUAUAAACGGUACCUUCAUUCAACUUUCCUCAGUCAUUCCUUUUGAUUAUGCUAUCUUUUCAUUGACAAAAUCAAAUUGAUAUGAAUCAUCUAUAAAAAUGUUUGACUAACUGAUCACUCAUAUUUUUCCAUCUUUGAAUGUCUGUAUUUGUGGUCUUCCUCCCAUUCAAUUUUCAGAUUUGAUGGUGCAUUGUGGCUAAUGCCUAACUUCUUCCUUAAUUCUGAGAUAUUCUAAAUACUACAUUAUUACUUUUAUUAAUUUUUUUUUGUUCAAGUUAUUCAAGACUAAAUUAAUGAAAUGCAAUUAUAUUCUAUUCUGCAUAUAGAGUUACUCUUUUUUUAAAUGAAAAUUUUAGGAACCUAGAAAUGCUAGAAAACAUGGGAAACAUACUCAUGGUAAGAAAAUGCUCUGAAAAGCAUUAAGAGUUCUAUAGGAUAAAAACAUGUCAGAAGACAGCAUAAAAACAAGAAAAACUGUGUCAAUUUUUCCCAUACUUUCUGGUUCCUGACAAUAGAGUAUUUACAUUUGUACAUUUAAUGCUCAAAAAUAUUUAUUGCAGUAAAUUCAUCAAAUAUUCCUCACUUAGUUCACAUAUAGUUUACCUCCAAUUUUUUGCUAAGCUAUCAUUUCUGUUUUGUUUUUUGAGGAAAAAAGUCUUCAAUUUAAUCAUAUCUUUGCAUUUGUAGCAAGUGCCUAAUUUCCAUAAACAACCAACAUGGUGUAAAUGAGUACAUUAAUCGUAAAAAAAGUAUUCAAAUCUACUGGGUUGCAAAUCAAUGUGGUAAAAAUAUAAACUUUCUUAACUCCCAUUCACAUCCUAAUUUUUAAUGCAUAGAUGGUAUGAAAUCAUCUAUACAGUAUCAGAAUUGACAACAGAUAUCAGCUCACAUCUAAUUGCAAAAUAUUAUACAAACACAGGUGCAUAACUUCAAUUUUAGUCUUCAAAUAAGAAUGCCAGGUUUCAAGCUUGUUCUGAGCAGCAGUCUGGCACACUGGCAGGAUAAUAUUAUCGCAGCAAUAUUUGCAAACUGCCAGUACCUUCUAGUGUACGUUAUCAAUAAACUAUCAAAUAAAAUGAACAGCAUUGUCUUUCUCUUUAACAAUUACCAUUUCUCUAUACUCUAUUUGUUUUAAUAUUUCCAAGCAUGCAAUCAAGCAACAAUUAUCUGGGUGAAAUGAUGAAACACAGUGAUAAAUAUUUCUUAUCUUAGUCAUGGUAUGAUCCAUAGGAACCUACUCCUUAGUUCAGGGCUGUAAUUCCUAUUCAUGUUCAUGUCAGUUAAAAAUGUAUACUUAUGGAAGAAUCAGGCUUCCAAGUUGUUCUUAUUCUAAAAUUCUGUCAUGGUUUUGAUUUAGCUGACAUUUAAAAUAUUAUAAUGUCACAAAUGUACACAAAUUCCUGAAUAUCUUUUUAUCAAAGUCAAUGAAAAUACAAGUACAUAAAGGAAAAAAAUGAGUGAAAUGGAAUAUUUGUCUAAGUUACUUGCCUUAAGGAAUCAUCUGGAUUAAGCAGAAUUCCUAUUAUUUCUGGCAUAAAGCCUGAAGUUUUAAUUGUGCACAUUGGGACAUCUUCAACACAAUCCAGUUGCUACAACUAGUACAUAAUAAAAUACUUUUCUACUUCAAUAAAGAAGUACUUCUCUACUUCAAUACUAAGCCAUUGCUCUUGAGUUCACACAGAUUCUCCUAAAUAUACUAGUAAAAGGAAAACCAAAUCAUAUACACAAUAUGCAUAUUCGUAACCCAAAAACAGACACAUUCCAACAGGAAACCUCACUUUCUUAAUUUAUUAUGAGUCAAUAAGCAUUGGUCUUGAGAUCCUCAUUUUGGAAAGCAAAAACCCUAAUAGUGUCAAAGUCAUUUAUCAGUUAAUAAACUCAGUUAUUUCUACUUUACUGUAACAAUUGCAUUUUGUGGUUAUUAUGUAGGGUAAUAUUUCAAAAACAAAUUGGUUGUCACAGGAAAUUAAGCAUUCCUAAGAAUGUAGAUUUAUCACAUGAAGGGAAAUGGCUAUUUAUUUAUUGCAUAUAAACAGAUAACCAUACAACGGAGUGCUUUCAUACAAGAAAGCCUAUACCCACCUAUAAUUUUUAGAUAAAUAAGUGCAUUUUUAAAGAAAAGCUGUGAUUAGUUAGAAGUUAUUAUCUAAAGGAUCUGAGAAUAAAGACUGAGUAAAGGAAAAUAAAAAAGGCUUUGAUCACAAAAGUAUAUUAGUUGGGGGAGUUAUUUCUGAAGCAGCACAGAGGGGCAGGAUUUGGAAAGGGGCCUCCUGGGUGGGCACAAAGCCACAAUUGUCCUACAGGGUAGAGAAAAUUUCCUCAGAAAUACGGAAAGAUCCUGUGAGUCCCUUAGGGUCCUUCUGGGUGGGUACAGAGCUGCAAUUUGCCUAGCAGAGAGAAGGUAAAUUUGGAAAUAGCAUGGACUCUCUGGAUUCUAAAAGGGGCAUACUCAGCUGACAGAGAGACACAAGUUACUAGGUGGUGGAGAAAGUUAAUUUUGAAGCAGUGCUGAGGGGCAGGAUUUCACAAGGGGCCUCCUGGGUGGGCACAGAGCCGAGAUCUCCCUAUGAGGUGGAGAAAUUUACCUCAGAAACAGGGGAAAAUCUGGGAAUCCACAAUUCUGGGCAGGUGGAGAGCUGUGAGAAGCCCAUUGACCUGGUAAAGCUGUUUCAGAAACAGUGCUAAAGGUCCUGGGAGUCACAAAAGGGCUGGUGGGCAGGUGAAGAGCCACAGGCUGCAUAGGAAGUGAAGAAAGUGAACUUGGAAACAGCACAAAGGCUCUUUAGAGUCACAUGAGUCCAUGUAAGCAGGUGGAAAGCACCAAAAGUCCCAGUGAAGGGGGCAAAUGGAACCAGGAAACGACACACACAACGCUGGAGGCAAAAACAACCCAGUGGAUUGGUGGAGUGAUCUUAGGAAUAGCACAAGCUCAGUGAUCCUUGCCAACAAUCAACCAGGAGACUGUGGAAGCAGUGUAUGUUGCAAGGCUAGCCAAAAGAGCUGAGAGGGGCCCACUGGUGCACCUUUUUACUUUGCAAUGGUUACAGGGAGAACUCUACCAUCAGCCUAGUAGGCAGAGGGACCACUGGAAUGGUGAAAGCCUUACAGCUACAGAGAAAGCCUUUUAGCAGUAGUUAGGAAGCAGCCCCUGACUUUGGGGUUAUGGAGAAUGCCCCCAAGGGUGACUGUCCCCUCAGCUACAGAGAGAAGUCCCUAGAGCCUCACUGACAAAGGGAGGGACUGCAGGAUCAACUGCUGAUGCUGCCAAUUACAGGAAACCAUCCUGAGCACUAACUGGAAACAGGAGGGGGUCACAGGAGACAGUCCUGACCACCAACAACCCGCCACAAAAUCAAUCCUGUGAACUAGAAACUACCACCAACACUCACAUAGAUCCUAUUCCUAACAUCCACCUGGCUUCAGGGGAGGUAAUCCAUACCACUGUUCCCAUCACGUGCUCUAGGUACAUGUGAGCCAAUACCACCCCUGAGAACUCCAAGACAAAGCAUCAGCUGCUGCAUCUACAUACCUGUCAUCAAGGGGACAAUAAAUAUAGAAAGUUAGAUACAUGAGAAGACAAAUAAAUCACUUUCAGACAAAGGAACAAGAUAAACAACUAAAUGGAGAGGAGAUAGGUCGUCUACCUGAAAAAAAAAUUUCAGAGUGAUGAUAGGAAACAUGACCCAUGACUCUGGGGAAAAAAGUGGAGACACAGAUAGAGAAGUUCUGAAAUAUAUUUAAUAAAGAGCUAGAAGACUAAAGAACAAGCAAACCAAGAUGUUUAGCACAAUAUCUAAAAGGAAGAAUAAAUUAGAAAGAAUCAACAGCAGGAUAGCAGAGGCAGAAUGAAUAAGUAAUGUGGAGAUCAUUGCCUCCAUAAAAAAAUUAAUAAAAAGGAAUGAAAAGAACUGAGGAGAGUCUAAGAGAUCUCUGAGACAACAUUAAAUGUACCAAAAUUCACAUUAUAGGGGUUCCAGAAGGAGAAAAGAGAGAGAAAGGGCCGGAAAAUAUUUGAAGAGAUUAUAGUUGGAAACUUCCUUAAUAUGGGGAAAGAAACACUCACUCAAGUUGCUGAAGCACAAAGAAUCCUACAUGGGAUAAACCCAAAGAGAAACACAGAGAAACACAUACUAAU